rnacentral:rRNA from 1 species
UACGUAGGGUGCAAGCGUUUAAUCGGAAUUACUGGGCGUAAAGCGUGCGCAGGCGGUUGUGCAAGACAGAUGUGAAAUCCCCGGGCUUAACCUGGGAAUGGCAUUUGUGACUGCACGGCUAGAGUGUGUCAGAGGGGGUAGAAUUCCACGUGUGAGCAGUGAAAUGCGUAGAUAUCUGGAGGAACACCGGUGGCGAAGGCGGCAUCCUGGACCGAAAUUGACGCUGAGGCGCGAAAGCCAGGGGAGCAAACGGG